ACAGAUAAGUUAUGGCAGUUCCAUUUUAAAGAACAAGAUGUUAAAGUUUGUGAUAAAAUUGUCAUCAGAAAUACUGUCCACUUCAGUAUUUACAUAGGAAAAUAUUGGAGGAUGAAGCUCUACCUACUGCCUCAGAGCAACAACACAAUAAAAAACCAAAAUAUGAACACCAGCAACUAAAACAGGAACCAUUAAAUGAAUAUUAUACACAGCAAUAACAGCAUCAAAUAAUGGAAAUAAUGGACCCUACUGCUCAAAUCAAAAACAAAAUUUCAUCAUUACCACUUUAUUGGUUAUAUCAAUAAAAGAAAUUAUUGAGUUUAUGAGUCUAGAUCCUACAAGCAAGCAGAUCUAUCACAUAAUUUAAAAUGAAGAUUUAUCUAUUAUAGUAAUUUAUUCUAAUAAU